AUUCUUAACAAACAUAUUUUUUAGUGUUUAGUUUAAAAAUAAUAUAAAAAUUACACUCAUCAUCUUUUAUCAUUUUCCUGCUGUAUACUAGUAGUAUUGUAUGAAGUAGUAUUAUUACUUCAUCCUUUAAAUAUUAUUUAAAUCAUACAAGCAUGUCUUGUAUUUGCUUCUUGUUUAGAUCCUAGCACUAUUAAUCUAUAGAUUUCUUGAGAUUUCUUGUAUCAACAAGGUCUACCAUUGAACCAUCUUCAUCUGGUACAGUUGGUAAGUCCUAAAAACCUGUUAUGCAUUCCUUAUCAAUGCAACAUUUAUUUUUAUAACAAUCUUUUAACCUAAGUUCCAACUUCAACUACAACAAGUGGUAAGUUUAAAAACUAUUACUGUGUAAUAUGUGUAUGCAUUUCUCAACAAAUGCAAUAUCUAUUAAAACUUUUUAAACUGAGGAGCAUCCUCAUCUGCUACAAUUGGUAUAUUUUAAAUACUUUACUUUCUAAUAUUUGUAUGCAUUUUUCAUCAAUUGCAUUAUUUGUUUUUAUUAACUUUUUUACUUAGUUUUAUCGUCUUCUGCAUCAUAUGGUAUGUCUUAAUAAUAUUACUUUUUUAUAUGUAUAUUCAUUUUUUAUAAUUUGAAAUAUUAGUUUUUUAUUACAACUUUUUAUCCUUAAGAUCGUCUUCAGCUCGUACGAUUGGUAAGUUUUAACUUUCAAUUUCUAAUUAUGUAUGUCUUUUUUUAUCAAUUGCUAUAUUUUUCUUUUAUUACAACUUUUUUACCUUAGUUUUAUCGUCAUCUGCAUCAAGUGGUAUUAUUUAGUGUCUAAAUAAUAUUAGUUGUUAAUAUGUUUAUACAUUAUUCAUCAUUUGCUAUAUUAAUUUUUUAUUACAACUUUUAAACCUUAGAACCGUUUACAUCUUCUGCGAUUGGUAAGUUUUAAAAAUUUUAACUUCUAAUUGUGUAUGCAUUUUUCAUUAAUUGCAAUUUUUCUUAUUACAACUUUUUAACCUUAGUUUCAUGUUCAUCUGCAACAACUGGUAUGUCUAAAAACUAUUACUUUUUAAUGUGUGCGCAUUUCUCAGCAAUUGAAAUAUCUUUAAAUAACAACUUUUUCUACCUUUAGUUUCACCUGCUCAACCUUCUGCUUGUAAAUUUGUGUCAAAAAUGUAUCUGAAUGGUUAUCAUUUUUAUUAUUCCUAUUAAUAUACACUGUUUAAUACAUUUAUAUUGUGUUCUCAUUUGAGUUCUCAUAAAAAGGAAGUAUUUAAAUUUUUACUUUUAUUAAGAAUUUGUUUACCUAUAAGUGAUUUAUUAGUCAAUAAUUUUAUAUAUUUAGAUUUGUAUAAAGUGUUACAUAAUGCCAUUUGAUACUAUUAUAAUUAUUAUUUAUUUUAUAGAGCUUACAUAUGAAGCCUACAAAAUUUACAGGACCCAGCAUCCUGGACCCCACCAGCAACAAGUCAUAUUUGCGUUGGGUCCGGUUUGGGGGCAAAGAUGACCCCCUUUUUAGAUGGCCCUAUUAUCCCCCAAACAAGGGUGCUGGAGACAACAGCAGAAGAGGUACAGGAAGUGGUUGCGCAAGAAGAGAUCGACAAAGGAGGAAUGGUGGCAGCCAUUAUGUUAACUUCAAUAUAAACAAUUAAAAAGUUAACAUGGUGCCACUAUUCCUUUAUUUUUCUUUAAAAAAAUACAAUAUUAGUCAAUUUGUUUUCUUUAUUGUCACAAUUUUUAGAUUAAAUUAUU
rnacentral:lncRNA from 1 species